ACUCCGGAGAGGGAGCCUUAGAAACGGCUACCAUGUCUAAGGACAGCAGCAGGCGCGCAACUUAUCCACUGUUCAUUGAACGAGAUAGUGACGAGAAAUAACAAGCCCGUUCUCUUUGAGGUCGGGCAUUGGAAUGGAUGGAAUCUAAACAGUUCCAUGAGUAUCAACGAGAGGGCAAGUCUGGUGCCAGCAGCCGCGGUAAUUCCAGCUCUCGUAAUGUAUAGAAUUAUUGUUGCGGUUAAAAAGUUCGUAGUUGGAUUUUCUACCGUUCGGCGGUUGGGUUUAACGACUCAGACUGUCGGCGGUUUUUGCGCUAUGACUGGCUUGCUAGUCUUAGUGCGGAUUACUUUGAACGGCUUAAGUGCUCAAGGCGAGUCUUCGGACUGAAUACCGGUGCAUGGAAUAAUGGAACAAGGUCACGGCCGAGUUUUAUUGGUUUUGUCGGCUGAGACAAUGGUUAACAGGAACAGCUGGGGGCACUCGUAUCGCUGCGCGAGAGGUGAAAUUCGAGGACCGCAGCGAGACGCCCUAAAGCGAAGGCAUUUGCCAAGAGUGUUUUCAUUAAUCAAGAACGAAAGUCAGAGGUUCGAAGGCGAUUAGAUACCGCCCUAGUUUUGACCGUAAACGAUGCCAACUAUCAAUCCGCCAGUGGCUUUUAGUCAUUGGCGGGCGGAUCGACGGAAACGAAAGUUUUUCGGUUCCGGGGGAAGUAUGGUUGCAAAGCUGAAACUUAAAGGAAUUGACGGAAGGGCACCACCAGGGGUGGAGCUUGCGGCUUAAUUUGACCCAACACGGGAAACCUCACCCGGCCAGUACAUCAUAAGGAUUGACAGAUUGAAAGCUCUCUCAUGAUUUGAUGAAUGGUGGUGCAUGGCCGUUCUUAGUUCGUGGCGUGGGUCGUCUGCUUAAUUGCGAUAACGAGCGAGACUCCGACUGCUAAAUACUGUCUGGAUAAUUUCGUCCUUCACAGUUCUUAGCUGGAUUCGAGACUCCAAGUCUCAAGAAAUGGAGCAAUAACAGGUCUGUGAUGCCCUUAGAUGUUCGGGGCCGCACGCGUGCUACAAUGAUGGUAACAGCGUGAUUGUCCUCGCUCGACAGAGCUUGGCAAACAGUUGAGAUAUUAUUAUGGCUGGAAUUGAGUGUUGAAAUUUUCUCUCAUGAACGAGGAAUUCCAAGUAAAUGCGCGUCAUCAACGUGCAUUGAUUACGUCCCUGCCCUUUGUACACACCGCCCGUCGCUACCCGGGACUGAGUUGUUUCGAGAAAUCUACGGACCGAUUGUGCGUUGGCAACAACUCACUGUUGGAAAGUAAAUUAAUCGCAAUGGCUUGAACCGGGUAAAAGUCGUAACAAGGUAUCAGUAGGUGAACCUGCUGAUG
rnacentral:rRNA from 1 species